AGAAUUCACAAUUAUGAUAUUCGCUUUGAAAAUUGCCUAAGAUAAUUAAAAGAAAAGAAAAUUCUCAAUUUUGAUCAUCUCUGUAAUCAUCCUAAUGAGCCAACAAAAGAACAUUAUUGUAAAGAGGAAAUUAUAGAAACAAGAGAGAAAAUUGUUUCUCUGAGACAGAAUUUCUGAAAUAAACAAACAUAAAAUGAGAAUCCUAAGAGAAUUCGCAAUUACAAACCAAUGAACCCAAAUUUCGAUCAUCAGUAGGACCAAAGAACAAAACCCCAAAACUGUCCUUCAAGAUUCCUUCUAUGCAUGAAUAAAGAAUGUGAUUAUCGCACUGGAAUUCAUCUUCAGAAAUCCUUGUCUAGUCCUGUUGGAAAGGGUUAAUCAUCUCCCUUCUGAAAUAGGGAAGGAAUACAAGACUUGGAAAUAGAAUUAGGGUUCUGCAUAUAUAACUUUUUAGAUGUACAGAAACUACUAAUUUUACAGAAUUAGAAAAAUAGAAAACUAACUAAACAAAGUCAAAAAUUCAUUAAUGAAAUGGCUACUAAGAAAUGGUUUAAACAAGAUGGCUAUUGACACCAAAAUCAAUCAUAGCUACCAAGUAGUGAUUUCAUAUCAAUUCAUGCUGGAAAAAAAAAAAAAAAAAAAAAAAAAAAAACAUACCUAGUGUCACUCGAUACUAAAAGCUGAUUUUUCUCACGUGCAUUAUAAUGGAUAUUCAAGAUUUGACUGAAGCAAAAGAGAAUGACAAAUCACUUAAUUGAAAAGAAAACACAACUUAUGGUGAUUUAAAUCAAACAUGAAAAGCACAUAUUCCAUCAAAGAUCAGAAAAAACCAUAGAGUGUUUACAGAAACAAAUCUGAUGAAACUCAAGUUCAUGAUCAGUUAGACCAAAAUGAAACCUAGAAAAGAUCUUCUAUAUUCAUCCCAAGACAAAGAAUGUAACAUAACAGUGAAAUGACAGACAUAGAAACAGAGAAAACUCUGAGAACAUAAUCAUAAAUAAAUUGGAAAAGGAACCACAAAUAUAACACAAAAGCACAGUCAAUCACAGAAAAAUUCAGAAAAACAAAUCCAGAGAAACUCAAUAUUGAUCAUCACUCCAAAGAACAAAGUCAAGAAAAAUGAUCCUUCAAAAUUCGUCCAAAUGCACCAAAAAAUAUGUGAUUAUAAAGAAAAUAAAAAUAUGAAAAAGACAAAAAAAUACUCUACGAACAAAUCCUAAAAUAAACAUAUUUAAAAUGAAAAAGGAACCACAAACCCAAUACAAAAAAACACAAAUUACAUUAAAGGUUCAACCCACGGAGAAUGUAACAUCAAUAAAUCCAGUGAAAUUCAAUAUUCAUCAUUAUCCAGAGAGCAGACCCCCAGAAGUCCUUCAAUAUUCAUCAUUUAAUGCACCAAAAAGAAAGCGACUAGGAAGACAGGGCAAUUACAUAAAUAAAGAGAACAUUAUCACACUUAGAAAUGUAAUAGGUGCAAUAACUGUAAAUAAAAUGAAAAAAAAAACAAAACAAAACACAACUUAUUAAUAUUGAAACCAAACAAAAAUUUAAUUAAAGAUUUAGCCCAUAUAGAAUUCACAGAACGAAAACAAAUACAGCAAAACCCAAGAUGAACUAUCACUCCAAAAGACAAUUAAUCAACAUCCAUCCAAAUGUAAAGGGAACACCGAACACAACCAUUAAUGAUCAAUCACUGCUUUGGGGUUUCAAAUUUCUGCGACUUCUCAGAAGGAAAAUGAUCAAUUCGAGUUUACAGGAAAAAUCAUUCUCGGUGCCAUACAUAAAAUGAAAAGAAAGAGAAUUCACAGUUUUGAUCAUCACUUUGAUCCAGAGAAAAAUCCCACAAGAUAAAGAAAAGAAAAGAGAAUUCACAAUUUUAUCAUCUCUUUAAUUAUCAUAAUGAACCAACAAAAAAUGUUAUUGUAAAGAUAAAGAAAUUAUAGAAACGAGAGCGAAAAUUGCCACUCCGAGAACAUAAUUUCUGAAAUAAACACAUAUAAAAUGAGAACCCUAAGAGAAAUUCACAAAAACAAACCAGUGACCCAAAUUUUGAUCAUCAGUUGGACCAAAGAACAGAACCCUGAAACUAUCCUUCGAGACUUCUUCUAUGCGUGAAUAAAGAACAUGAUUAUCGUACUGGAAUCCAUCUUCAGAAAUCCUUGUCUAGUUCUUUUUGACCGAGAAACCCCAAGCCUCACUCUUGGCCGAGAAACCCCAAGUCUCCCUUUGAAGAAUUAGGGGUUGUAGUAGGUUCUACAUAACAGUCUUAUUUUUGUAAAUUUCAUAUUACAUCGUUGGAUUAAGAACAAAUAAACGGUUCAGAUUUUAGGGAGCUUCCAAUCAAAUUCCAAGCCAUUGCGAAAUUUCACCGUUGGAUUAAGUUUUAUUCCUUCUAUGGAAAAAAUAAAAAACUUCUUUAAUUUCC
rnacentral:lncRNA from 1 species